rnacentral:rRNA from 1 species
UACGUAGGGUGCGAGCGUUGUCCGGAAUUAUUGGGCGUAAAGAGCUCGUAGGCGGUUUGUCGCGUCUGCUGUGAAAACCCGAGGCUUAACCUCGGGCCUGCGGUGGAUACGGGCAGACUAGAGGUAGGUAGGGGAGAAUGGAAUUCCCGGUGUAGCGGUGAAAUGCGCAGAUAUCGGGAGGAACACCGGUGGCGAAGGCAGAUCUCUGGGCCGUAACUGACGCUGAGGAGCGAAAGCAUGGGGAGCGAACAGG